rnacentral:RNase_P_RNA from 1 species
UAGACAAGACGGCAGCGGUAGUUUUUGAAACUAACGAGGAAAGUCCGAGCUCCAAAGGGCAGGAUAGCUGCUAACGGCAGCCGAAGGCAACUUUAGGGAAAGUGCAACAGAGAUAUACCGCCGCAAAAGCGGUAAGGGUGGAAAGGCGAGGUAAGAGCUCACCAAUCGGCAGGAGACUGACCGAUUCUGUAAACCCUAUUCGGAGCAACGCCUCAUGGAAGUGAAGAGGAAUGCGUCGGCCCGGCGUACUUCAUGAGGGGCGGCUUGAUUCCGUCGGCGACGGCGGAACUAGAUAGAUUGUCGUCAAAUACAGAACUCGGCUUAUAUGUCUGGCC